GGGGAAUCUUCCGCAAUGGACGAAAGUCUGACGGAGCAACGCCGCGUGAGUGAUGACGGCCUUCGGGUUGUAAAGCUCUGUUAAUCGGGACGAAAGGUCUUCUUGCGAAUAGUUAGAAGAAUUGACGGUACCGGAAUAGAAAGCCACGGCUAACUACGUGCCAGCAGCCGCGGUAAUACGUAGGCGGCAAGCGUUGUCCGGAAUUAUUGGGCGUAAAGCGCGCGCAGGCGGAUCAGUCAGUCUGUCUUAAAAGUUCGGGGCUUAACCCCAUGAUGGGAUGGAAACUGCUGAUCUAGAGUAUCGGAGAGGAAAGUGGAAUUCCUAGUGUAGCGGUGAAAUGCGUAGAUAUUAGGAAGAACACCAGUGGCGAAGGCGACUUUCUGGACGAAAACUGACGCUGAGGCGCGAAAGCCAGGGGAGCGAACGGGAUUAGAUACCCCGGUAGUCCUGGCCGUAAACGAUGGGUACUAGGUGUAGGAGGUAUCGACCCCUUCUGUGCCGGAGUUAACGCAAUAAGUACCCCGCCUGGGGAGUACGACCGCAAGGUUG
rnacentral:rRNA from 1 species